rnacentral:rRNA from 1 species
CCUACGGGUGGCAGCAGUAGGGAAUCUUUCACAAUGGGCGAAAGCCUGAUGGAGCAACGCCGCGUGCAGGAUGAAGGCCCUCGGGUUGUAAACUGCUUUUAUAAGCGGGAUAAAUGAUGGCAACUUAUGAAUAAGGAUCGGCUAACUACGUGCCAGCAGCCGCGGUCAUACGUAGGAUCCGAGCAUUAUCCGGAGUGACUGGGUGUAAAGAGGUGUGUAGGUGGCAUAAUAAGUAGCUAGUGAAAUCUGGUGGCUCAACCAUUCAGACUAUUAGCUAAACUGUUAAGCUCGAGACCGUUAGGGGUAACUGGAAUUUCUAGUGUAGGAGUGAAAUCCGUAGAUAUUAGGAAGAACACCGAUAGCGUAGGCAGGUUGCUGGGACGGUUCUGACACUGAGGCACGAAAGCGUAGGGAGCAAACGGGAUUAGAUACCCGUGUAGUC